GCGCAAGUUAAAAGAACUCCGACCCAUGGUCCUUUCCCCCUUUUCUCUUAGAAAGUUUUAGGGAAACCAGAAACUCGCCCCGCAAAUCUUAAGGCAUGAGCACUAGGAAAGGUCAGCGCUCACGAGCAAGGGACCGCUCCUACUCACCUUAGAUCCGCGGGACGGAAUCGGACUUCUAAAAAACCACUAAGGGAAAAAGGAAGAGGACUUCGGCUUGGGGUUUCUGGUUACCGCAAGGAAUUUACCUGACCUCACGCUGCCGAGGUCGGAUCGGUAUAAGGAAAAAGAAAAUAGCUUAAAGAGGCAUUAAACAAAUAUCUGCAUUCAACAUUAAACAUUGCAUAUAUAUAUUACACGGCCCACCGGCCUCAACACCCACAAAAAAAAAAUAAACUAAGAAUCCUACUGCCCUGUCCACUCAGGUCCUUGAGCCCCGAGGGGGGAAGCUUCGCCUCGUCGUCGAAGAAGGUGGCUAAGGCAUCUCCGGGG
rnacentral:lncRNA from 1 species